UAAUAUCUAAGAACUGUUGCAUUCUUAUAACAGAUACUGCUGAUCCGUGAAAAGGGUAAACAAAACCAGCUUUAUUACAAAGGUUUUGGUGUAGUUACAAUCAAGUUUUGUUAUUAGCACAUUCAGAACAUUUUGCACUCAAACGGUUAUUUUUAAUUCUUUUUAUAUUAAAAGUCGACCAGGAAGACAAUCUGUGUCAAUGUAAGCUGGUGCAGAACAGAGGAAAUUGUUACCAGGAUUACAGAGGGAAAUAAUUGAAUGUAGAAGCUGUGCCUUGCUCUCUGGUGCAGUCUGCACAGGAAUGAAAACCUAACACUGCUUCAGACUAUCUCUAUUCACUAAGAGCAAAGAUGAGUUACAUGAAAUAGUCGAAGAUACUGAAACAGACACCAGAGAAAUACAAAGCAUCUGCUGCAACUUUACUUCAGUUGUACUGUGUGUAUGCAUGAGAAGAGAAACCAGUGCAUUUUAAAAUGUGAAAGUUUGCACUAU